CCUGUUCCCUAGCCACAGCACUGCUGCACUGAGUCAUAAACAACAUCCCCCAGUUAACAUGCAUCUUCCAUCAAUUCACUGGCAGCACAAUGGCAGGGGACCCCUCUGGGAUGUGGAAGGUGAUGCUGACCUGUGCAGCAGCACAUCGUGAAGGGCAGAGCAGGAAAAGCUGCAGUGAGGCUUCACACAAAAGUGUGCUUCCAUGCUGAACAGUUGCUGCAUUGAGACAAUGGUGUAUGUUCGGUGAAAUGAAAGACCAGAGAAAUUUGUGGAUUAAAAAAAAUUUUUUUUACAAAGUCCUCCAAAACGCAGAGAUAGAUGCAGGGUGCUCAAAAAGUCAGUCAGACACCCCUCUGCUUAGGGAAGAUUGCUGCUGGGUUAAAGUUAGUACAGAAAAUUCAGUCUAGUGUGGCCCCCGGAUUAUUAUCCGUUAUUACUUUUUCAUGUAGGCAGUGAUGAAGUUGCAAUGAAGAAUCCAUCAAAGGAGACUUUAGGGCUUUGAGAUGAUUGGUUAAGGGAUCAUGUAAGUACAUGCAAUAUUUCCCUCUACUCUUUCAGGUACAGGGAAUGGUAAUGGAAGAAAAAGGCAGAUCAGCUUAUGAAGGCUGGUGUUGCUGGCAAAAUCUUGGGGUUUUUUUGAUCACGAGAUGGUCUACAUGGCAUCAUAGUGCUUGGCACCUGAUGGGCUGCACCUUUCUCAAAGAGUGAAAAGGAUUUUUGCUCAAGAGUUAUCAGGGAUGAAUGAAAGAGCUUUAAACUAGAUUUGAAGGGGGAAAGGAAAACAAUCAGGCUCAGUGGUGAUAAGCUAUGGGAUAGCACUCCUAUCCCAUAGCUAACGGGACAGCAUGAUAACAAGUUCCUUCAUUUUUUUCCAUAGGACACUAGGUACAUAGUAGCACAUUUGAAAUGUUCCUACUCCAAUACAUGCAGCAUGAAGAAUAAGCAAAAAGAGCUAAAAGCUUUGGCUUGAAUCAGAGCUAUGGUAACACUGGCACAGAUGAGGCUCAGUAGGAAGAGCCCUGUGACUGGUGGUUACAAUGGAUGGCUAUAGGCUCCUUAGAAGUGACAUGCAGGGCAUGUGAGGUAGGGGUAGCACUGUAUGUAAUUGAGCAGUCGGACUGUAUGGAGCUCAUGAUGACACAACUGGAAGACUCUAGGUAAGGAUUAAGGGGAGGGUCUGGUUAUGUGUUAGGAAAAGGUACUUUGCCAGAGGGUGCUCGGGCACUGGGAUAGGCUUUCCAGGGCAAUGGUCAUGGCCUCAAGCUGCCUGGAGUUCAAGAAGCAUUUUAACAAUGUUCUCAGACAUAGGGUUUGAAUUUUGGGUGGUCCUCUGUUGAGCCAGGAGUUGGACUCGAGCAACCCUAUGGGUCCCUUCCAACUCAGGAUAUUCUAUGAUUCUGCGAAAAGCAAAUGUUAGCUAAGAUGGAAGGCAGAUCUGUGAGGUUUACUGUUGAGCAAACUUAGGCCUUAAAAAAGGGAAACACAUAUGUGCACACACACAGUGUCUCCAAGAAUCUUUAAUAUUCACAUACAAGAGAAAGAGAAGUCUUUUGUUAGACAUCUUGCCAAAACCAUGAUUCAACAGUUGCCACAUGCAAAAUUUUUCAUGAAAAUUCUACUUCCAGCCACCAAGACUUACUGACUGUAAACUCAAUGUUUGUCCCUGUUUCUCUAUGUUUAACCAAGCAUAUGGAGGCAGAAGCCAAUAAACUGCUCUGCAACGUUUCUAGUCUAGCACCAACCUGGGCAUGGGAAGGAUCUUGUUUGGAUAUGACCCUAUGCUUUAAGGGGAUCUAGUCUUUGAACUUUUAGUCAGUACACAGAUGACUGGUCAUCUGGAGAAGAACUGAAAAGAGAAAAAUGCCAGUAGCGGGAAGCCAAGAUUCCUGUUGUCCAUCUACCUACUCUGCGUUCUAUACUCCUUCAGGGGUUUCUUCAACACAGAACUGUUUUCACAGAAAAAUGACUCCAGAGAAAUUCUAAUUCUUUUUUUCUGGAAGCUUAUUUUCAAAUUACACCUUCACCCAAAGCUGAGUAAGAUUUUGGAGAUAAAACUUUUUUUCCUGUCUCCUUCGCUUCCAGAAGAACAUUCCUGAGUGUCAAACACAUGAGCUUUGAAUGAUGUGAUUUUGUUUCACAGUGAGAGAGAACAGAUCAGUUGCACAGAUCGCACAGGGUGGUAGUAUAGGAAGCUCCUGUGAUGCAUGGCCAGACAUAAAAUCCAUCACUGAGCACACAGAAAGCAUUCACAGUCCCCUGAGAAAUAUCUACAAGGUGAAAGAGAGAUGUGACUUUUUUCAGUCCAACCCCUGCUUAGAUCAUAACACAGUCAAGCAAUUCAACUGUAAAAUUAAGUUAAACCAUGUUUGCAGAGGUGCCGACAGGCUUUCCAGUUAUGUUAAACUAAAUUUAUAUAGCCAAGUUGGUUGAAGAAAGCAUUUUUCAUAGCCAAAUAUACAGAGGAGUUUUCCUAAGAAGGAAAUCUUCAUUCCCUGAUCCACCCAAUGGUCCAAUACUGCUUUUGGCAAUUAUCUUUGCUCAAAUGUUAAAAAUAAAUGAAGAUGGGACUUAGAUUCCAGAUGUCUACUUCAAGACACGUAACUAUUCAGCGUAUUUGGAAGAAGGGUUUUAAAGUUACUUCUGAUUCUUUGAAGGUCAUUCUAACACACAGAUUGUAAUUGCAUAAAAUGAUAACUAUUUAAUUAUAUUCAUUAUUUGUCACCAGACCUAAACUUUUCAACUUUGUUUAGACUUGGCAUAUAACUUCAGGAUGGAUUUUUCAAGUCUUCACAUUUUGUAGUACACAAGACAGACAAUUCCUUUCUUUCCUCUUUCAUAAGUAAUUGAAGGUAAACAGGGGAAAAUGGGGAGUAACAGGCCUAUACAAUGAUUCACUGAGGAUGAUGACAGAAAAUUGCUACUGUCUUCACUAAGUGAAGGAUUUAAAAUAAUCCAUCAGAGAUGAGGGCAGGCUCCCUGAGGUGGCUUUGUAGAGCUGUGUCAGAGUAAAACUAGGCUUCUUUUCUCAAGCAGGUCAGGUAAUUUCCAUUACUUCACUAAUAACUGUCCAUUCCCAGUCACAGGGAUGUGGGCACCCCUUCCUGCUUAGGCUCCUAGAGUAGGAUGUGGAAUAGACUUCUGUUUCUUCCUUUGUGACUGAAUUAAAAAUGCAGUCAGCUGAGCAUCAUAGACAAAACUAGCCUUAUGCAACAGAUAACUUCAACAGAUAGCCUGUCAGCUUGAGUCAAAAUGGAUCUGAAUUUAUUAAACACCAUUUGUGCUCACUUCUGGGGGCAGUGAAAUGCAGAGCUUGUGCAGAUUCUUAAAAAUAACAAUUAUAAAAAAUGCUGAGACCUCCUUUACCAUCUAUUCAUUUUUAAAGGUUUCUCUUGAAAACUUGGAAUCUGUCUAAAAUUUUGUGUGACAAUUUUAAAACUUUAAAACUGAGCAGAUUUCUGGUACCUUGAGGUCAUAAACACAUGAAAUAAUUCCUGAGAUGGCUUCACUUGUAAAUGAGCACAAGAUUUUCUUCUUUUCUCCAAGGAUUUGCUUACCGAAAUCCCACAUGCUGCAGACUUCUUGCCAAAUCGCUGCAGAAACUUCUGCCAGAAGGGAAUGCUCACAACUGCUGAUACCUGCAAUUAACAGGAAAAGGAAAUCUGUGCUGUACUUAUUGCUACUUCAUAGGCUUCAUUGUCUUCAUCAGCUGUAGAGUUCACCAAUAUCAUUUUGUAUAGUACAUGAUAGUCUGGAAAGCAGACGACCUUGCAGGCUGCUCCCUAUCACUCUCCAAGUGGUUUGUCUGAUUCACUCUUAUAUGUUAUAAAUGAAAACGAUGCGAGAGGUUUUAACAAAGGUAAAUAUGAAAAUACAGUAUCAAACUUUCCUUCUGCUAACGUAAGCCACUGCAGUUAAAGUUACACAAUCAUUAAAGCCCAAGCAUACCACAAACACUUGUAUUUUGUCCUGAUGUCUUUUACCUCAUGAUUUGAACCUGACACAUUAUAAUUUAACUAAGCCUUAUCCCACAGUAUAGGAAGAAAGCUGAAAAGCAAUAUACACUUAUCUUAAAGUACACUUAGAGUACAUACCCCAGCUCAGUCUAUACAUAAAAGAUUUCUUGUCUUUUAUAACUUUGUGCUAAAAAACAGUGAGAUUGAUAAUAAGAAAUAAAAAUGUAAAUAAAACCACAACUCACCAAGAUGGUCACCACCAAAUACUGGAAGUGAUAGUGAAGAUCAGCUUCUUGAGUACAGAAUAGAAUAAAGUUGCUCUGCUCUAUCUGUUGAAUUGAAGACAGUUGGUGACCACCACCAAAAGAAGGAAGAGGAAAAAAGAUAAAAAGCCAUCACACUUUGUACUAGCCAAACAUACCUGGGGACUGAUUUGUUAAAUGUAGGAUUUGGGAGUUUUGCAGCAAUUUAAAAAAGCAGCCACUCUCCUGGUAUCACUGGAUUAACACACCAACAAUAUCAGGGCAAGCAAGAGGAAAACCAUGAUUCUAACAGGGCAUAAAAAUGUCCAAGCCAAGAACUGGCUCAGUUCAGAAUCCUCAGAGAGGAUUCUAUCUAAAGACUCUGUUCCUUAUGCUGCAACUGCCUUGAGUCACGGUCACAGUCGCAGCUGCAGAUCACCACAAAAUUGUCCUUCCUUUUCCAUCGCCCCUUCAUAAAUCUUUCACCAGAAGCUCUGAUCCCCAAACAAGUUGCUCUUCAACUGGAAUUGCUCACAUGCCAACUUCCUGUAGUAAAGCAGCUGUUGUUUUUGUACACAACUUUGGCUAUGGACCGUAGCUUUGGGUUAGGUGAAUGUUCAUUGGAUGGGAGCUGACUGAAUGGAUGCUGUAUUUGUGUGGUACCCAUACUGAUCAAAUGGAUGCUGGAAGGACCUAGACCAAAGGGACUUCCAUCAUUCAUCUUCUUGUCUCUAUUGCUUUUGGUGCCUGCAACUCCCAGAUGUAAGCAAAAAUGCUUCUCAUAUCAUUUCUCACACUUGGGCCUCCGAGUAAAGGACAACCCUACUAAUUGUGCCCAAAUUCAUGUCAGCAGGAGACUUCAACGUUUCUUUGGCAAACAGACUUCCCAAGGAACUUAGUAAUUCACCAUGACUGCUGGUGAACACAGCACUGGUGUCUCACAGGCUCAGUUUUUAUCCUCCCUCCUGAUACACGCUGUGAUCUGUGGUUCAUGUGAUUGACAAAAACAUGGAUAUUAUGUGCUUUUCAAAAUAAAGCCAACUUCAACUUAUAUGUACGUAGUGUCAUGUUCACAUUAAAACUAUGUAUUUAUUGAGUUGAAUACAGCUCACAUAACGACCUUUAAAAGACCCCUGGACUUCAGGGAGUAAAGGCUUCUUACCAAGUAGCUUCCCAUUUUUUCUACAGCUCCUCUCUAUGGAAGGACAUACUGCAUCAUUUUGUGAAAGUCACAUUUAACUGCAGGUUCUAAUUUGAAAAUCAGCUCUAUCUAGCUCUGAAAUAGCUAAGACCACCUGCCUCUGAACAUCUUCUAACUCUAACCUAAUGCCUUCCAUCACAGAAUUCUCUACCAGAACUAGCUCAGCCACUGUCUGAGAUCAGUCACCUAUGCAAAGGAAAGGGGGCAAUGGUUUGAAGUGGCACAGAAGAACAGACAGAAGAGCAAAAACACUCUCUAAGCAACUGAAACCACAGGAGACUGUAGAUGGAUAACAUAUAAUGACCCAAUCUGGGUCACUGGGACUAGUUCUUCACCUUUUAUGGAAAAAAAAAAUAAUAAAACCCCAUCUUUAAAUGGUCAGAGCUUUGGUUUUCCUUCUUGUUUAAAUGAACUAUCUCCAGCAGCAUAGAACCCCAGGCACCAAAAAAAGGCUUUGGUUCCCUGCUGAUUUUUGGGGGAAGGUACCACCCCCCUGAUCAUCACCUCCAGUCACAAGUCAAAGGUUAUUUGCAUUUUAGCUGCUUCAGACUCUCUCAUGCUGGGACUGGAAUGGGGCCAACAUACAGCCUUAGAGACUGAAGUUACCUGAACUGCUGUUGAGAUGAGAAGAAAUGAAGCUGCAAGUUUCACAUACGGGCCGUGCUUCAUGGAAAAGAAUGAUAAUUCCCAGAAGAUAUAUGCCUCCUAUAACCCCUGCUGCAAUCAUAUAGACUUUUGCCUUUGAAAAGAAAAAAGACACAUCUGAAAUGGUGACAGGAGAGUGACAAAUCAUGAUGAAAAUUUCAGUCUUUUUUCUGGUGAGUCAUCUGCAAGUGAAGAAAUGCCCCCCUAAAUAGUGCCAACUGUCUAUCUUUUACUUCUGUGAAGAACAUUCACUUCUGCAAUUCAUUUAUAAACAACAGCUACUUAAGGAUAAAUCCAGGAGGAGGAGAAAAAGAAGGUGUGAACAAAGGUCUACUGUGCUGGCAACAAGAAUAGGAAAAAAAAUGCUUAUGUUGAGACUAGCUAUAGACAUACGCAGUCAUCUGUCAAAAGCACACAGCAUUCAUAGAAUGAUUCUGGAUUUUUGUUUUUUAUUUUAUUUCAAAUCUUGUUGAUCUUUUUAUACAGACCCGAAACUGUAUCUUCAUUCUGGGUGGGAAAGUCUUCUGAGCUGAUGCAAACAUAUCUAUUACGGUUACUGCAUUUGUACAUGACAAUAACAAAAUCUUAUUUUAGAAAGCACACUUUAAUGCUGAUGUUUUGAGAACGUAGUAGCUUGCAUGCUUGUUUUCACAGUUAGGUAGUGAAAUGUUUAAGCAAAUUCAGAAAUCUUUGCUUUCUAUUAAGUCAGGUGAAAGAGCCCUCCAAGGAUACCUCCCACACGAAUCAUAUUUAUUGUUUCUGACUGUGAUUAUAUUGACUCUUGAAUAAAGCUUUACAAUUUUA